AGGGUCUUCAUGGCCCGACCUCCACCCUCUGUUGUUAAAACUACCUUGUUGCUUUGGCGGGACCGUCUCGGUCUCCGAGCGCACUAACCCUCGGGUUGGUGAGCGCCCGCCAGAGUCCAACCAAACUCUUGUAUUAAACCAGUCGUCUGAGUAUAAAAUUUUAAUUAAAUUAAAACUUUCAACAACGGAUCUCUUGGUUCUCGCAUCGAUGAAGAACGCAGCGAAAUGCGAUAAGUAAUGUGAAUUGCAGAAUUCAGUGAAUCAUCGAAUCUUUGAACGCACAUUGCGCCCCUUGGUAUUCCGAGGGGCAUGCCUGUUCGAGCGUCAUUACACCACUCAAGCAUCGCUUGGUAUUGGGAACGGUCCGUCGAAAGGCGGGCCUUCCUCGAAGACCUCGGCGGGGUUCAACCAACUUCGGGCGUAGUAGAGUUAAAUCGAACGUCUUAUAAGCUUGGUCGGAUCUCAUUGCCGUUAAACCUUUAAAUUUUCUAGGUUGACCUCGGAUCAGGUAGGGAUACCCGCUGAACUUAAGCAUAUCAAU
rnacentral:rRNA from 1 species